CCAGGUGGUGGUUGCCAUUUUAGUGAAUUUAGGAGGGUGUAUAUAGACAGAAAUAUGAAAAAUGUAUCAUAUAUCAUGACUGUGGUGAUCUUCAGGCAGCUAAGUUUCAUCCAGAUGGCCAACUUUAUCACAACGAUGUCAUCAAACUCACAUCAGCACAGAGGGGAGACACUGUAACAGCUCAGCUCAGCGAGACCUUAAUCAUGAUGAGACUGCUGGUUAAUUGUUUAACGGCAGCCUGAUGGAGCACCUACCAAUAAACUGCUUUCUCAUCUUAUCUCUCUGCCUGAGGUCGUCUGUCCCGAAAAUGAUGGCGUUGAUGACACUGAGGAGUGUA